rnacentral:rRNA from 1 species
UCUGUGCUAAGGNAGCGAAGUCAUUUGUUCUUUUAUUGAGAACUUGUAUGAGUGGAGUUAUGGAGGUUUUUUUAUAAACGGUUUUUUGGCUGAAUUUGAUUUAUCUACGAAAAGUUAGAUUUGUUUUCAAAGACGAGAAGACCCCGAAAUCUUUAUUUUAAAAAAAUGGGUUUUAAUUUUUGUUUGGGGGAAAAGUUAAUUUGUAUUAUUUUCUUUUUUAGUGUGAACUUUGUUAGGUUAAAUGGAUAGAUACUUCGGGGUUAACAGGAUAAUUUUCUUUUGAAGUUCUUAUUUUAGAGGGAGAUUGUUACCUCGCUGUUGGCAUUUGAA